CCUACGGGAGGCAGCAGUGAGGAAUAUUGGUCAAUGGGCGCAAGCCUGAACCAGCCAAGUAGCGUGAAGGAUGACUGCCCUACGGGUUGUAAACUGCUUUUAUACAGGAGUAAAGUUAGGCACGUGUGCUUUUUUGUAUGUACUUUAUGAAUAAGGAUCGGCUAACUCCGUGCCAGCAGCCGCGGUAAUACGGAGGAUCCGAGCGUUAUCCGGAUUUAUUGGGUUUAAAGGGAGCGUAGAUGGUUUGUUAAGUCAGUUGUGAAAUUUUGCGGCUCAACCGUAAAAUUGCAAUUGAUACUGGCAGUCUUGAGUACAGUUGAGGUAGGCGGAAUUCGUGGUGUAGCGGUGAAAUGCUUAGAUAUCACGAAGAACUCCGAUUGCGAAGGCAGCUUACCAAUCUGCAACUGACAUUGAUGCACGAAAGCGUGGGUAGCAAACAGGAUUAGAUACCCGAGUAGUC
rnacentral:rRNA from 1 species